GAUGAACGCUGGCGGCGUGCUUAACACAUGCAAGUCGAGCGAAACACCUUAUUUGAUUUUCUUCGGAACUGAAGAUUUGGUGAUUGAGUGGCGGACGGGUGAGUAACGCGUGGGUAACCUGCCCUGUACAGGGGGAUAACAGUCAGAAAUGACUGCUAAUACCGCAUAAGACCACAGCACCGCAUGGUGCAGGGGUAAAAACUCCGGUGGUACAGGAUGGACCCGCGUCUGAUUAGCUGGUUGGUGAGGUAACGGCUCACCAAGGCGACGAUCAGUAGCCGGCUUGAGAGAGUGAACGGCCACAUUGGAACUGAGACACGGCCCAAACUCCUACGGGAGGCAGCAGUGGGGAAUAUUGCACAAUGGGGGAAACCCUGAUGCAGCGACGCCGCGUGAGUGAAGAAGUAUUUCGGUAUGUAAAGCUCUAUCAGCAGGGAAGAAAAUGACGGUACCUGACUAAGAAGCCCCGGCUAACUACGUG
rnacentral:rRNA from 1 species